CACCUGGCUGGCUGGCUGGCCUUCCCUCCCCAUGGCAGCAUCAGGCCAGCCAGCACUGGUGAAUAGUGGUGAAUGAUGCGUCUCUAUGCUUGGGACAUCGGACAUCAGCUCCCCAUUGGUCUCUGAGGUUACUGAGUGGAGGAGGCCAUCUGAGUGGAGAUGAAAGUCUCUAUCACGCCAGCUCGCUGCAGUACAUGCAUGAUCCGGCAGGGCUCCUUCUUAUGUUUUCAACAACCCUGUGAAGGAACACAAUUUUGUGGACACUGAAAUCCUGCAUGAAGAGAUAAUCACGAUAGUUUUGUUGCCUGUCCCAGAAUCCCUUGCAACGUUGAUUCGGCUAGACCCCUCACUCUGGUUUCCUGCUCUUGCACAGCCACAGGAAUAUCCUCAUCAUCGUGGGCCAGUGUGGUGUCACAGUUAGAGUGCUGGACUGGAAUCUGGGAGUCCUGGGUUCAAAUCCCCACUCAUUCACAAAAGCUCACUGGGUGGAAUUGGUUGGAGAUUGGGAAGCUGCUUUGUGGAGAAAGUUCCUCAAAAAGUGAGGUAUAAAAAUAAGUAAAUGUAAGGGGAAUCCUGAGCUUAUUCGAAUAGGCUCUUAGGUGCUCUCCUGAAGCACAAUUAAAAACGGCCCUAGAUUUCCACCGUCUCUUAGGCUCCUUCCCACCCACUAGGCCUCAGCCUGCUCCGCUGGCAUUGGCUCCCCUCAGUACGGAUUCUCCCUUCUUCCGUCACCCUUUUUCCAGCUCCAGUUCAAGCUUCCUUCUUUUUUCUUUUUGCUAGGUUCUGAGGUCACUUUUAAGGGCUUCUCACCUCCCUUUUGUCACCUGAACAAUAAGUAACCCGGGUAGUUAGUUAUAAACUCAAAGGGAACAAGAGCCUGGUUGAUAAUUUAUAGCAGCAUCUCAAAUUUAAAUGGAAAGCAAAUAUCAAGUUGUUAGCAUUAAAAGAAAACCCAAUCCAGAGAACUGGGAAAGCAACAUGGGGUGGGGGGGAGAUGCCUUGAUGUUCCACUCUUAAUGAGGUUGUGGCUUAAAUAUUAUUUCCCUCUUUAAAAAAGAAAAAAACACCACCCUCUCUGUCCAGCAUUCUUUUUUGCUGUCCACUCCCUAUGACUGCUUUUUCCCAUUAUUUCCAACCGCUUCUCUGGGCAAUGUAGGGCUGGGUUUAGUGCAAGAAGGACCUUUGAUCCCUCUGAAAAAACUAAUUUGGGAUUCCUGCUUUGGACCAAGCCUGGACUCAAGAUCACCACCGCUUGACACCGUUCCUGGUCUUUGAACCCUGGAGCCUGCGUCUUUGUUGGUUUCACUGAAUAAAUUGGACUUGGAAGGGGCAGAGAGGAAGGAAGUGGCAGCUACUGGCUCCAUGUCAGUGGGGCACUGGAAUCUGCUCCAGAUUUUAGUCUGCAAUUUCAAGGAGCUGUCCAAGGUGCUGAAGCAACCUGAAAGUUCGGACUAGGACAUAGGUGGCUGAUGCCAGAUUGAAAUGGUCUCUUGCUGGUUUCCAAGCAUUAAACAGUUUAAACAUCUGA